CAAGGUUAAAACUCAAAUGAAUUGACGGGGGCCCGCACAAGCGGUGGAGCAUGUGGUUUAAUUCGAUGCAACGCGAAGAACCUUACCUACUCUUGACAUCCACGGAAUUUGGCAGAGAUGCCUUAGUGCCUUCGGGAACCGUGAGACAGGUGCUGCAUGGCUGUCGUCAGCUCGUGUUGUGAAAUGUUGGGUUAAGUCCCGCAACGAGCGCAACCCUUAUCCUUUGUUGCCAGCGAUUCGGUCGGGAACUCAAAGGAGACUGCCGGUGAUAAACCGGAGGAAGGUGGGGAUGACGUCAAGUCAUCAUGGCCCUUACGAGUAGGGCUACACACGUGCUACAAUGGCGCAUACAAAGAGAAGCGACCUCGCGAGAGCAAGCGGACCUCACAAAGUGCGUCGUAGUCCGGAUCGGAGUCUGCAACUCGACUCCGUGAAGUCGGAAUCGCUAGUAAUCGUGGAUCAGAAUGCCACGGUGAAUACGUUCCCGGGCCUUGUACACACCGCCCGUCACACCAUGGGAGUGGG
rnacentral:rRNA from 1 species